CGGGGAAUAGUUUAACGGUAGAAUACGCCCAUGGGGUGGGUGUGGUAGGUGUUCAAUUCACCUUUCCCCGACCA
rnacentral:tRNA from 2 species